rnacentral:rRNA from 1 species
AACGUAGGUGGCAAGCGUUAUCCGGAUUUACUGGGCGUAAAGGGUGUGCAGGCGGGGUUGCAAGUGGUGUAUGAAAUCUCCCGGCUUAACCGGGAGGGGUUAUGCCAGACUGCAAUUCUAGAGGACGAGAGAGGGGGGUGGAAUUCCGGGUGUAGUGGUGAAAUGCGUAGAGAUCCGGAGGAACACCAGUGGCGAAAGCGGCCACCUGGACUGCACCUGACGCUGACACGCGAAAGCUAGGGGAGCGAACGGG